rnacentral:rRNA from 1 species
AUUGAACGCUGGCGGCAUGCCUUACACAUGCAAGUCGAACGGCAGCACGGGUGCUUGCACCUGGUGGCGAGUGGCGAACGGGUGAGUAAUACAUCGGAACAUGUCCUGUAGUGGGGGAUAGCCCGGCGAAAGCCGGAUUAAUACCGCAUACGAUCUACGGAUGAAAGCGGGGGACCCUCGGGCCUCGCGCUAUAGGGUUGGCCGAUGGCUGAUUAGCUAGUUGGUGGGGUAAAGGCCUACCAAGGCGACGAUCAGUAGCUGGUCUGAGAGGACGACCAGCCACACUGGAACUGAGACACGGCCCAGACUCCUACGGGAGGCAGCAGUGGGGAAUUUUGGACAAUGGGCGAAAGCCUGAUCCAGCAAUGCCGCGUGUGUGAAGAAGGCCUUCGGGUUGUAAAGCACUUUUGUCCGGAAAGAAAGCCUUGGCCCUAAUACGGUCGGGGGAUGACGGUACCGGAAGAAUAAGCACCGGCUAACUACGUG